rnacentral:snoRNA from 1 species
AUAUAGAUUCUGUCACUGGCUCUGCAUGAUGUUGCACAAAAGGGAACCACGUUGCAGAAGUGAGUCUAAUAUUGGAAAUUUGUCAGUCUGAAACUUGAAUUUCUAGGGGCAUCUCUUUUAAGACAUUG